AUUGAACGCUGGCGGCAUGCUUUACACAUGCAAGUCGAACGGUAACAGGCCUUCGGGUGCUGACGAGUGGCGAACGGGUGAGUAAUGCAUCGGAACGUACCCAGAGGUGGGGGAUAACGCAGCGAAAGCUGUGCUAAUACCGCAUGUGAUCUGAGGAUGAAAGCGGGGGACCGAGCAGCAAUGUUUGGCCUCGCGCCUUUGGAGCGGCCGAUGUCGGAUUAGCUAGUUGGUGGGGUAAAGGCCUACCAAGGCGACGAUCCGUAGCUGGUCUGAGAGGACGACCAGCCACACUGGGACUGAGACACGGCCCAGACUCCUACGGGAGGCAGCAGUGGGGAAUGUUGGACAAUGGGCGCAAGCCUGAUCCAGCAAUGACGCGUGCGGGAAGAAGGCCUUCGGGUUGUAAACCGCUUUUGGCAGGAACGAAACGGUGUCCGCUAAUACCGGGCGCUAAUGACGGUACCUGCAGAAUAAGCACCGGCUAACUACGUG
rnacentral:rRNA from 1 species